rnacentral:rRNA from 1 species
GAUGAACGCUGGCGGCGUGCCUAAUACAUGCAAGUCGAGCGAACAGAUAAGGAGCUUGCUCCUUUGACGUUAGCGGCGGACGGGUGAGUAACACGUGUGUACCCUACCUGUAAGACUGGGAUAACUUCGGGAACCCGGAGCUAAUACCGGAUAAUAUUUCGAACCGCAUGGUUCGAUAGUGAAAGAUGGUUUUGCUAUCACUUAUAGAUGGACCCGCGCCGUAUUAGCUAGUUGGUAAGGUAACGGCUUACCAAGGCGACGAUACGUAGCCGACCUGAGAGGAUGAUCGGCCACACUGGAACUGAGACACGGUCCAGACUCCUACGGGAGGCAGCAGUAGGGAAUCUUGCACAAUGGGCGAAAGCCUGACGGAGCAACGCCGCGUGAGUGAUGAAGGCCUUCGGAUCGUAAAACUCUGUUAGUAGGGAAGAACAUACGUGUAAGUAACUGGGCACGUCUUGACGGUACCUAAUCAGAAAGCCACGGCUAACUACGUG